CGGGAUGUAGCUCAGUUGGUAGAGUGCUGCGUUUGGGACGCAGAUGUCGUCAGUUCGAGUCUGGCCAUCCCGA
rnacentral:tRNA from 1 species